rnacentral:rRNA from 1 species
UACGUAGGGGGCGAGCGUUGUCCGGAAUCAUUGGGCGUAAAGAGCUCGUAGGUGGUUUGGUAAGUCGGAUGUGAAAUCUCCAGGCUCAACCUGGAGGGGUCAUUCGAUACUGCCAUGACUAGAGUGUGGUAGGGGAGACUGGAAUUCCUGGUGUAGCGGUGAAGUGCGUAGAUAUCUGGAGGAACACCGGUGGCGAAGGCGGCAUCCUGGACCGGCAUUGACGCUGAGGAGCGAAAGCCAGGGGAGCAAACGGG